rnacentral:rRNA from 1 species
CGGGGGGCAGCAGUGGGGAAUUUUGGACAAUGGGCGCAAGCCUGAUCCAGCCAUGCCGCGUGAGUGAAGAAGGCCUUCGGGUUGUAAAGCUCUUUCGGCGGGGAAGAAAUCGUAUUCUCUAAUACAGGAUAUGGAUGACGGUACCCGAAUAAGAAGCACCGGCUAACUACGUGCCAGCAGCCGCGGUAAUACGUAGGGUGCGAGCGUUAAUCGGAAUUACUGGGCGUAAAGCGUGCGCAGGCGGUUGUGUAAGUCAGAUGUGAAAUCCCCGGGCUCAACCUGGGAACUGCAUUUGAGACUGCACGGCUAGAGUGUGGCAGAGGGGGGUGGAAUUCCACGUGUAGCAGUGAAAUGCGUAGAGAUGUGGAGGAACACCGAUGGCGAAGGCAGCCCCCUGGGCCAAUACUGACGCUCAUGCACGAAAGCGUGGGGAGCAAACAGGAUUAGAUACCCCGGU